GACGAAGGGGGCUAGCGUUGUUCGGAAUUACUGGGCGUAAAGCGCGUGUAGGCGGUUGCCAUAGUCAGGUGUGAAAGCCUUGAGCUCAACUCAAGAAAUGCACUUGAUACUGGGCGACUAGAGGACCGGAGAGGAUAGUGGAAUUCCCAGUGUAGUGGUGAAAUACGUAGAGAUUGGGAAGAACACCAGUGGCGAAGGCGACUUACUGGACACAUAUUGACGCUGAGGUGCGAAAGCGUGGGGAGCAAACAGG
rnacentral:rRNA from 1 species